rnacentral:rRNA from 1 species
UACGUAGGGUGCGAGCGUUGUCCGGAAUUAUUGGGCGUAAAGAGCGUGUAGGCGGUCCGGUAAGUCAGCUGUGAAAGUCAAGGGCUCAACCCUUGAAAGCCGGUUGAUACUGUCGGGCUAGAGUCCGGAAGAGGCGAGUGGAAUUCCCGGUGUAGCGGUGAAAUGCGCAGAUAUCGGGAGGAACACCGGUGGCGAAGGCGGGUCUCUGGGCCGAUACUGGACGCUGAGGAGCGAAAGCGUGGGGAGCGAACAGG